CUGCAGUUCUGUUUCCUCUGUGCCUGCUUCCUGCAUGCCGUCUGUGCGAGGUUAAGGUGCAGCUGGACGAACGUCCCCGAUGAGUCCACUCUCUCGACGGCCCCUUCCACCGACUGCUCCCUAAAGAGGAACUGGACGUUGCUGCGGCUGUGGAAGUAGUCCAGCACAUCCUUCACCACGCGCCGCUGCAGAGGGCUCUGCCCGGCGUCUGCCAACGCCAGCACGGCCACGGCGAUGCCCAGCAGCAGCUUCAUCCCCACUGCGCGGCCCGGCCAGCCUGCUGCCCACUACUGCUUGUUGAUUUUGGUCUCUCAUUAACCA
rnacentral:lncRNA from 1 species